CUACGGGGUGCUGCAGUGGGGAAUUUUGGACAAUGGGCGCAAGCCUGAUCCAGCAAUGCCGCGUGCAGGAUGAAGGCCUUCGGGUUGUAAACUGCUUUUGUACGGAGCGAAAAGUUCUUCUCUAAUACGGAAGGAUGAUGACGGUACCGUAAGAAUAAGCACCGGCUAACUACGUGCCAGCAGCCGCGGUAAUACGUAGGGUGCGAGCGUUAAUCGGAAUUACUUGGCGUAAAGCGUGCGCAGGCGGUUUUGUAAGACAGGCGUGAAAUCCCCGGGCUCAACCUGGGAAUGGCGCUUGUGACUGCAAGGCUGGAGUACGGCAGAGGGGGAUGGAAUUCCGCGUGUAGCAGUGAAAUGCGUACAUAUGCGGAGGAACACCGAUGGCGAAGGCAAUCCCCUGGGCCUGUACUGACGCUCAUGCACGAAAGCGUGGGGAGCAAACAGGAUUAGAUACCCCUGUAGUC
rnacentral:rRNA from 1 species